AAAAAAAUAAUCCUUUUAAUUUUAAGAAAGAACUUUUGCAACUAUAUAAAAAACCGUACUAUUUAAUUGAUGUAAGGAAAGUUAAAACUUCAAAAAGAUAUAAAUUGAUAAAAUCAUUUCUCAAACACAAAGAAAAAAAUAUGGUAGAGAUUGUGAAAUUUGUUUAUAUUAUGAUUAUCUUUAUUUUUCUAUUUCCGGUGUCAUCCAAGUCCAACCAUGGAGGAGUAGCUAAAUGUAAAAACGAUAGUAAUUGUUAUCGUUUCAAUUUUUUGUGUCUGCCACCAAUGAUAAUGACGUGCUACAAUAAACUAUGCACAUGUGUUAAAGUGGCCUCUCUCAUCCAUUAUGUUCCGGUAUAAUUCUGCAUUAGUGGGAAGCAAGUACACCAAUGUUUUUGAACUCUAAUAUCGUUAUUGUAUUGUCAUCUCAUAAUUUGUUUUUUUUUUCCUUCUCAUUUCAAGAUAUUGUGCAUAAUUUUGUUUAAGUUGUAUUCUUCUCUCUCAAUUGCAAAAUAUCUCUAUAAAUUUUAAUUUAAGCAUGGCUCAUAUUCAUUUCA